rnacentral:rRNA from 1 species
UACGAAGGGGGCUAGCGUUGCUCGGAAUCACUGGGCGUAAAGCGCACGUAGGCGGAUUGCUAAGUCAGGGGUGAAAUCCUGGAGCUCAACUCCAGAACUGCCUUUGAUACUGGCAAUCUUGAGUCCGGGAGAGGUGAGUGGAACUGCGAGUGUAGAGGUGAAAUUCGUAGAUAUUCGCAAGAACACCAGUGGCGAAGGCGGCUCACUGGCCCGGUACUGACGCUGAGGUGCGAAAGCGUGGGGAGCAAACAGG